rnacentral:misc_RNA from 1 species
UGGCUCUCGCAUCGAUGAAGAACGCAGCGAAAUGCGAUAAGUAAUGUGAAUUGCAGAAUUCAGUGAAUCAUCGAAUCUUUGAACGCACCUUGCACUCCUUGGUAUUCCGAGGAGUAUGCCUGUUUGAGUGUCAUGAAAUUAUCAACUUCAUAGUUUUAUUACUGUGAGGCUUGGACUUGGAAGUUGCUGGCUCUGCUCGGCUCUUCUUAAAUACAUUAGCUGCUUGUCCGUGGGUUGGCUCAGAGUGUGAUAAUUAUCUGCACUUGGUGGCUGCCUGCAAGGAUGUGGCUUCUAAUCGUCUUCGGACAAUUUCUUAAGAUCUGACCUCAAAUCAGGUAGGACUACCCGCUGA